GCGACCUUCCGCUGCUUUAGGCAAGCGGGCUGUCAAUGAGUUUACACCAGUUGUCCGGCUGUCGGCACUGCACAUAUAAAUCACUCUGUGUACCUCAGUAAAUUACUGCGAUGGCGGCCGGGGAGGAAGAGGAUCUGGUACCCGGAACCCUCAUUCGCCGUUAUGAUCUCCGUGGACGGCGAACACAGUCAAUGUGCACUUGCAAGUCAAAGGAGGAAGAAUACAGCCAUAGCUCGCUUAGAGGUCCCGGGACGAAGCAUACUUAAAACAGAACGGACAUAUUUCCCUUUUGCAUCCCACAAAUAAAAAAGACUUGAAUAAGAAA